ACGAGAGUGGUUUUGCCGACGCCGCGAGGGCCGUGGAGAAUGAGGGGUUGAGGAACACGGUGGUGGUGGGCGUGGUUGUUAAGGAUUGUUUCGAGGAGUGGCCUUGGUAUUAUUCUCCAUACCUUGUUCACCAUUUCUUUGAUUUGAUGCCUUCCUUCCUUCCUUCCUUCACCUUAUACUUGUUCGGCUCUUUGCCCUGUCUCAAACUGCGAUGAGUAGGCGAAGCCACG
rnacentral:lncRNA from 1 species